GAAACUAACAAGGAUUCCCCUAGUAACGGCGAGUGAAGCGGGAAGAGCUCAAAUUUAAAAUCUGGCAGUCUACGAUUGUCCGAAUUGUAAUCUCGAGAAGUGUUUUCCGCGUUGGCCUGUGUACAAGUCCCUUGGAACAGGGCGUCAUAGAGGGUGAGAAUCCCGUCCUUGACACAGACACCCAAUGCUUUGUGAUACACUCUCAAUGAGUCGAGUUGUUUGGGAAUGCAGCUCAAAAUGGGUGGUAAAUUCCAUCUAAAGCUAAAUACUGGCGAGAGACCGAUAGCGAACAAGUACCGUGAGGGAAAGAUGAAAAGCACUUUGGAAAGAGAGUCAAACAGUACGUGAAAUUGUUGAAAGGGAAACGAUUGAAGUCAGUCGUGCCUGCCUAGAUUCAGCCUUCUGGUGUAUUUCUAGGUCGGCAGGUCAGCAUCAGUUUGGGGGGGUUAACAAGGGAGUUAGGAAUGUAGCAACCUCGGUUGUGUUAUAGCCUAGCUUCGCAUUGAUCUCGCUGGACUGAGGAACGCAGUGCGCCCGCAAGGGUUGGUCUUCGGACACAUUCGCACUUAGGAUGCUGGCAUAAUGCCUUUAAACGAC
rnacentral:rRNA from 1 species